rnacentral:lncRNA from 1 species
CUGGGGCCGCAGUGGGCUCGGGGGUGGGAGACGAGGUCCAAGCGCCGGCGAGACCCCUGCCAGCCCGGGACCUGGGCUCGGAGGCUCCCUUCCGGAUUUCCAAAAUCUGCGGAGGCAGCAUUUGUUCCGCCUCUCCCCUCUAGAGUGUGGAGACAGGAGGACGUCUGUGUAGGGAAGCACGUCGUUGGCAGACUGCUGUUUUGCCGAUGUUUAUUUGUUAUGCCAUUAUGACUGUUAGGAUUUCUCACCUGGAGUGGCUUCCGCCAUAAGCGCCGGGAUCUGGAAGGACGGCACGUUUGACUUCUGUUGUCCCAACCUCACUUGCCAGCCCUUGGCACCGCCCCAGCUUGGAUCCUCAGGGCGCCUCUGUUAUUUUCAUUCAUUUUUUUUGAGGACUCCAGGGUUCAGGUUUCUUAACUCCUGGACCAAAGUUCGCCCCGCUCGUAGCACCCUGUCUCUCAUCCUUAGAGAUUCUGAAGUUUGGACUUGAGCUUUUGGGGCAGAGACUGAAUUGGGCCUUAUGCAACUCUUGCAAUACCGAUGACCUGCAAAGGACAGUAUGGAAGAGAUGAGCAUUAGAGUUUGGAUCCGGAUGGGGCCAGAAAUACCCUGAAUUAAGAGUGGGAAGGGGGGGCCCAUCAAAAUCAUUGAUCUUAAAAAUAAGUAAGGCCUGUGGGGUGAAAUUUGAAAUAAAGCAGAAAGAUAAGCUUCUUUGAUUAUUAUAUAACUUAAAAAAGUGUUUAUCAGCUUUGAAUACCCCCAAGAUGGUCACAGCAUUAAGCCAGUUAUGGGUCAUUCGUACAUAAGUGUGAAAUUAGUCACUCAGCUUUAACAGCUGGAUGAAAAAUAGGGUAGAGCCUAGGAUGAGGGAAUACCAGGUCUGAGUAGGUCUUCCUCCCAGAAAGGUCUCUGAGCAGGAGAAGGCAUCAUAAUGUCUGGGCAUUGGGGAGUGAAUAAUUAGGGGGCACACAAGAAGGGAUGAAAGACACCAAAAGCAAGCUUACUCGGUUUCUUAGUUUUGCUUAAGACAGUUUCAAAUAGAUGGCUCCCAGCUCCGCUGUCUACUUUCCUGUACUAAAUUCUUGUUGGAAACUCAGGGUAAUGAUGAACUAAUGAACACACUAUUUUCUUGAUUCACUAUCCAGUCGGUGAGCCUGCACCCCCGGCUUGAACAAUUCUCUAUGCAGAAAAAUCAUGAACUAUAGAAUGCUCAAUAUAUAGAGUAUGGGGAAAAACUAUCCAUCUCCAUGUUAAAAAGAACGUGAUGGAACCAGGUGAUUUAGGGUGUUCCAUAGACCCAGUCUUAAACGACAAUGAAUUACAUUGCAAGACAGUUAUUCCCCUUUCACUUUUCUUUAAGUCUUUCUGGAAAGUCCUUUGUGUUAACAUGUUAGCAUUUUUUAAUCUAUAUUUUUAACAGAAUGCAGGUACAGACUCUAAAAGUUCUUGAAGUUUUAGCAUCUAACUAGAAUUUAAUACAAUUAUCUUCCAUUUAUGGUAAAUGAUACUUUUUCAGUUGACAUUCUGAUAUAAACUUUGUUUCAUCUGCUUGUUCUGUGCUAGUCUAGGACACUGAGGCCUUGAGAGGUUAAGUUACUUGACUAAGAAAAUUAAUAUCUUUAAAAACCUUUCCUUUAGCCUCUCUUGACCAGAAAGAACCAGAAACUAUGGAUCCCUGAAAAAGUAUCAGAUUUCAGUGGCUCACAUGUUUAUAGCAGCCUUACUCACAAUGGCCUAUAUUAUUCCUGCUUCUCAUCCACUGCUUCCCCGUGGCUGCUGUAACGAAAUGGCGUUUGUAAGUAGCUGAACAAACAGUCCAGAACUCAUAGGACAAGUGUAAGUUUCCCACUGUUGGAAAUACAAAAAAACAUGAGAAAGUAGUGUGUUAGUUCGGGUCUUCAGAGAAGCAGAAGCUAAAACAGGAUUAAACAUGUUAAGAUUUUUUACUGGGGUAAAUGCUUGUGGGAGGGAAAAACGGGGAGUGCUAGCCAGAGAGAGCAUCAGACUGUGAUGCCAGUGUGACCUAGAGUGAAGGGGAGAGAGAGGGAAGGGUAGAAGGGCAUAUCUCAGACAGCCCUGUAGUCCCAGGAAGAUCCAGCAGUGCUGCUGGGCAGUUCUGGAGGGCAUCUGCUGUCAGGAGUCCACGGUACUCUGCUCGGUCAUUGGUGGGAUCAUCCUCCCGGAGGCAUGGCCUCUGCAGGGCUAUCUGGAGCCCUGGGUCGGUUAUGCUUCCUGCAGCUUGGGGCAUCUAUGAGGUCCUUUCUAGUGACCACCACAGAAAGAUAUGAGAUAAACAAAUACAGAUUAAUACCCACUAUGUUUCAAAGCAGGGCCUAUUGUGGUGGCAUACCACUUUCAGAUUAUCAAAACGGCAACUAGCAUUUUCCAAGGACUCUGGCAAGGCCCAUAAUGUGCAUUACUCAUUUAAUCUUCUCAUCAGCUCUGUGGGACAAGUUCUGUUUUUCUUUCCAUUUCACAGAUGAGGAAAUCGAGGCUUAGAGAAGGUGAGUAGCUUGCUCAAGAUCACCUCACCAGUAAGUGAUGGAAGAGGUUUUCAAAUCCCUUAAUGUUGUUUCUCCUCCCCUGAAACAGGAUUUGUGAUCUGUUAAGUAAACCUGAAUUCUGACUGCAUCUCAGCUAACCUAUUACCCUACUCACUUGUUUUGUUUUGUUUGUUUUUUUUUGAGGCGGAAUCUCGCUCUUGUCACCCAGGCUGGAGUGCAAUGGCGCCAUCUUGGCUCAGUGCAACUUUUGCCUCCCAGGUUCAAGUGAUUCUCCUGCCCCACCCUCUUGAAUAGCUGGGAUUACAGACGUGCGCCACCAUGCCUGGCUAGAUUUUGUAUUUUUAGUAGAGAGGGGGGUUUCACCAUGCUGGUCAGGCUGGUCUCAGACUCCUGACCUCAGGUAAUUCACCCGUCUCGGCCUCCCAAAGUACUGGGAUUAUAGGCGUGAGCCACCGCGCCCGGCCUGUUUUGUACUGUUUAUUGGUUUUUGACCAUCUUCUAAUCAGUUCUGCAAUCUAGGGAAAUGCCAGAGGUCCACAGUGGCCCCACAGACAGGUCACUAACACUCUGGAAAGGGGUGGUGUAAACCAUGGGCUGAGCUUUAUGCUCAAUGAGGGAAUUUGAGUACACUGCACUCAGCAUAUUUAAUGUAUGAAUCUGUUAACCAAGGUUGUUAUCCAGGCUCCGCUGUUUCAAAUAUUUAGAAAGAUGACUGAGGGCCAGGUGCGGUGGCUCACACCUGUAAUCCCAGCACUUUGGGAGGCCGAGGUGGGUGGAUCACGAGGUCAGGAGAUCGAGACCAUCCUGGCUAACAUGGUGAAACCCCGUCUCUACUAAAAAAUACAAAAACAAUUAGCCAAGCGUGAUGGCGGGUGC